rnacentral:rRNA from 1 species
GUAGGGAAUAUUGGGCAAUGGAUGCAAGUCUGACCCAGCCAUCCCGCGUGCCGGAAGAAGGCCCUCAGGGUUGUAAACGGCUUUUGACGGUGAAGAAUCGACAGGAUGCGUCCUGUUUUGACGGUAGCCGUUGAAUAAGCACCGGCUAACUCCGUGCCAGCAGCCGCGGUAAUACGGAGGGUGCGAGCGUUGUCCGGAUUUAUUGGGUUUAAAGGGUGCGUAGGCUGGAAGGUCAGUCAGCGGUGAAAAGCCGUCGCUUAACGAUAGUCUUGCCGCAGAUACUUCCUUUCUUGGAUGAGGAGGAGGCCACUGGAACGGAUGGUGUAGCGGUGAAAUGCAUAGAUAUCAUCCAGAACACCGAUUGCGAAGGCAGGUGGCUGUACCUUAAUCGACGCUGAUGCACGAAAGCAUGGGGAGCAAACAGGAUUAGAAACCCGGGUAGUCC